rnacentral:rRNA from 1 species
GAUGAACGCUGGCGGCGUGCCUAAUACAUGCAAGUCGAACGAGGUGCUUUUGUAGCAAUACGAGAGUAUCCUAGUGGCGAACGGGUGAGUAACGCGUUGGUGACCUACCCCAAAGUGUGGGAUAACAGAUCGAAAGGGUGGCUAAUACCGCAUAAGACCACGUCCUUGCGGGGAUGCGGUCAAAGGCUUCGGCCACUUUGGGAGGGGCCCGCGUCCGAUUAGCUAGUUGGUGAGGUAAUGGCUCACCAAGGCGACGAUUGGUAGCUGGUCUGAGAGGAUGAUCAGCCACACUGGUACUUAGACACGGACCAGACUCCUACGGGAGGCAGCAGUGGGGAAUAUUGCGCAAUGGGCGAAAGCCUGACGCAGCAACGCCGCGUGGGUGAAGAAGGCCUUCGGGUCGUAAAGCCCUGGCAGAUGGGAAGAAACCUGGGCAACCAGCUGACGGUACCAUCAGAGGAAGCACCGGCUAACUCCGUGCCAGCCGCCGCGGUAAAAC